ensembl:lncRNA
AGUAUAUCCAGUCAGCCAACCUCCAAAUCCCAAGCUCACUCUGGGCUCUUGACUUACUUCCUGUUCCUUAUUCUUGAUCCUAUUGAAAGCUUCCUGCCUUCUGCCCCAUUUUGCAGUUGUCUUGGAGGACUUGCAGUUCCUUGGAGAUGGAGACUGGUUACUUCAUGAAAGGUCCGCAGCCACAAAGCUGGGUCAAGUACCCUGGAAGUGAACUUUAUGCAGCGUGCAGUUUGACUCUGCUGUGCCAGCUGGAAUACACCUUUAGGAGCUGCAUAGGCAUAUCAGCACUUACAUAUGUGAUUGUCAUCUUCAAAGAGGAAACCCUGGCAGGCCCUGUCCACAAGCAGCGUCCCUGUUUUUGGGAGUUUCCUUCAUUCUCGUGAAGAGAGUCGCUAACAGUGAGUUACUGCCACUUGCCAGCCGCUGACAUUAUUAUGAAAGGAGAGCAUCAGGUCAAACCAAAGUAGGAGGUCGUUCUACUCACCCCAUCGCAGGACUGAAAUAAAAGGAAGGAAGACUGUGCAAGUCAGUCACCACAUCGCCCCUAACUGUAGGGGCUGGUUAGCUGUAAAUGUCAAUAGUCCUAACAAGGACUGUGGAGUAAUUUGUUAAAUAACCGAGUGAGCAUGCCACUCGGAAGCAGGAUGAGAGCGCGGCAUCAAUUAGAGACAAAGGGAACCGCUCCGUUUUCUCUGCAUCAAGUGGGCCUUCGGAGGAACUAGCUAGUCCACGAAAAGCAAGAGGAAGCAGAAGGAAGGAAUGGAGGGAGGAGGCAGCAACUCGGCCUCCUUGAAAUGUGAGGGGCGAUAAAGAAAGAGCGCCCUUGCUCACACUGAGAAAACACCAGCAGAGUGGAGCCUGGAAAGAAAGCCCCGCAGCCCCCAGGGACCUGGGCAGAAAGCGUCUGCCAACAGCGUGAGUGACCAGCCUCACCAUCUGCUUCCACACGUCGCUCCCCAACAAUGGGGGCUUGUGCGGCCCUUCUGCCCCGCCCCUCCCCCACCGUGAGCACUCAUUUAAAUGAGGCUGGGUAGGGGGCGGGGAGCCGCUGCCGGCGCUGUGACCGUUCACACCCUGGGAGCCCGCCCAGCAUCCCCAGCAGAAGGGCCUGGGGUGAGAGGUUAGACUCUCAGCUGCCCGGAGAGAUGAUUACCGAGCUGCUCCCAAACGAAGCUGCUUCACCGCUGGUGCUUGGGCAUGUGUGGGGGGAAACUCACGGAGUACAGUUUGGCAUCUUAGAGGGUAUACUGUGGUCUGUUGCAGAGAAACCAGAGGACAUGGACUGAAGUUCUCAAAAUGCAUGGCAGGCUUCCAGGUCCCUCUUGAGAGGCUCUACAACACUGAGAUUGACUUUGCUGCUAUAGGAACCAAGGAUUACUUCCUCCUUCAUUGCUCUCUCUCUGCUCCCCACAGCUGUUGUCAUAAUAGAGCUUGGGAGAAGGCUCCAAGGCUUCCUUGACGUCUCAGACAGUGAAAAAUUUGCCCGGAAAAUGGGAGACUGGGGUUCGGUCCAUGGGUUGAGAAGAUUCCCCUGGAGAAGAAAAUGGCAGCUCACUCCAGUAUUCUUGCCUGGAGAAUCCCAUGGACAGAGGAGCCUGGCGAGCUAUAGUCCAUGGGGUUGCAGUCAGAUACGACUGAGCUACUAACACUUUCUUCACUUGGGAGAAGGCCCCAGGGUGGUUAAAAACUGCCUAGUGUCUGCAAAGGGAGGCUGCUGACAGAAGCCCUGACACCAAGGGGAUGUCAAAGGGGCCUCUCAAGGCCCGCUGGGCCGUGGGGGCUUCUGUACGUGCCUGCUGCUGCUGCUGCUAAGUUGCUUCAGUCGUGUCCGACUCUGUGAGACCCCAUAGACAGCAGCCCACCAGGAUCCCCCGUCCCGGGAUUCUCCAGGCAAGAACACUGGGGUGGGUUGCCGUUUCCUUCUCCAAUGCAUGAAAGUAAAAAGUGAAAGCGAAGUCGCUCAGUCGUCCCAACUCUUAGCGACCCCAUGGACUGUAGCCUACCACGCUCCUCCUCCUCUGUCCAUUGGAUUUUCCAGGCAAGAGUAUUGGAAUGGGUUGCCAUUUCCUUCUCCAGUACGUGCUUGAGGCUGAGCGUAUUGAGCAGAUAGAUACCCAGCCCGUGGGCUGCCAGCUGAUGGAAAUUAGUCACAUGGUUGCAAUCUUGGUGAGUUUCACCUCUCAACCCGGAAGUCCUUCAUCCCGGAAGUUAGCUAGGGGCCGCCUGAACCUGGGGCGUUCGGAUCCAAUAGGGCCUUGUUCAGGUUCUCCAUAACGACAGUAGGUUCCAUAGCGUCAAAGGUUUUGCCCCACUUGUCUUGGAACGGCUUCCCUAUGGCAAGUUCUGGAAGAGGGCUCAGCUGCAGUCGUUUGUGUGUUAAAGAGAGGCUUGGCGUUCUCACUUUUCUCCUCGGCCAGCUCAACGAAGUGGCCCAUAUCUUCCCGAGUCACGUGGUCGUAGUCAAAAUAGAAGCCCAGCGAGAGGUAAGUGGAAGGGGGCCUGCAGAGUCUUGUGGACCAGGCAGUUGCCUGAGUCCUCCACUUCGGUGGAAUAAUUCUGGGAAUAUCUGGGAAGGCCGCGGUUGAGUGAGGAUACGAAACUCAGCGUAGGUUCCAAGGUUGCAUUUGGAAAGGGGGUUGGAGUGGAGUCCGAGGCCAGGAGCCAGGGCGGCGCUGGGUCUCUUCCGUGUAAACACUGUUGAAACCACAGACUGAACUGGUGGGCCACCUGGCUGCAGUGCCAAGAGUAUUAACUUUUUUUAAAGCUUUUACUUUAUUUAUUUACUGUUUUUAUUUUUGGCUGAGCUUGGUCUUCAUUGUCGUGCACUGGAUUUCUCUAGUUUCAGAGAGUAGCAGGGGUGCAGGGCGGGCUACUCUCGAGUUGCUGAACUCGGGCUUCUGGUUGCAGUGGUUUCCCUCCUGCAGAGCACAGGCUCUAGGGUGCUCAGGCUUCGGUAGUUGCAGUGCAUGGACUCAGUAGUUGCAGCCGGCACGCUCUAGAGCACAGGUGCAGUAGUUGUGGCAUAAGGGCCUAGCUGCAGCAAGGAAUGUGGGGUCUUCCCAGACCUGGGAAGGAGCCGGUGUCCCUUGCAUUGCACGGUGGAUUCUUAACCACUGGACCACCAGGGAAGCCCGGCAGUAUUAACUUUUUAACUCAGAUCCCCAAUUUCCUGUGGUAUUGAAAUUUUGGCUUAGCGGCCUUGCAUGGAGAAUUUCUUGAGUUCAGGUCUUUGACUACUCAGCUUUUUAUCUGUAGCAUCUAGGUUCAGUUCGUGGCACCUCCCAGGUUCUCAGUGACUAUUUGUUGGCAUAAAAUGUCCAUAUAAGCAUUUUUUCCCCCAGUACCCUUGCCUCUGAUUGGAAAUCCUUUCUUUGCAAAUCCUCAGAUGCAGCUUGUUAAUUUACAUGAAAGAGAAAGGCAUGGCCUACCUGAUGUUGGACCGUCUCACUAUGGCAGUUCAGUGCUUCAGUUGUCUGUUGCUGUGUAAUACACUGCCUCAAAGCUUGGUGGCUUAAAACAACAAUGAUUUUGCAGUUUGGAUAGGAUUUGGUAGAGCUCAGCUCUGUUCCAUGUGUCGCCAGCUGGGGUGUUUUAACUGGGGUUGGAGGAUAUACUUUCAAGAUGGUGCACUCGGCUAACUGGCAAGUUGGUACUGGCUAUUGACUGGGGGGAGCUCAAGUGAAGACUGCCAACCAGAGGUUUGGCUUAUAUUUCACAAGAGCUGUUUGGGCUUUCUUACAACAGUGGCUAGAUUUCAAGAUGUAGAAACUACCCCGCAUUCUUAAUAGCUUGCUUUGAAUACUCAUAAUAUUUCUUUCUCUGCCUUUUAUUGGCCAAAUUAGUCUUAGACUCAGCAGAUUCGAAGGGAAAGAAGGUAAGUGCCACCUGUUUAUGGGAGAAACACCAUGUACAUAUACGGAGGGGCAGAAAUUAGAGACUCACUUUGGAGAAUAAUUUUCUGCCAUAAAAUUUCUUUAUGAAAUAGGAAAUUGAGGGCGAAAAAUAACACAUGCAUCACAGAAUUGGUAUAAAAAUCAUAUUCCUGGCACAUAACAAACAGUUGAUACAUUUUUUGAAAGAUUUUUUUGAUGUGGACCGUUUUUAAAGUCUUUAAAAUUGUUGCAAUAUUACUUCUGUUCUGUUUUGGGGUUUUUUUGGCCACGAGGCAUGUGGGAUCUUAGUUGCAUGACCAGGGAUCAAACACACAGCCCAUGCAUUGAGAGAUGAAGUCUUAACCACUGGACUGCCAGGGAAGUCCCACUACAUUUUAACUAAUUUAACUAAUUUUCAUUGCUAUGAGAAAAUGAAAAAUUCCUGCAAAACACCAAGUUGGAGAAGAACAUAAUUUUUCCUCCAUGGAAAUUAUAUUUUCUCAUAAUUCCAGUUAGAUGAUUUUACUGGUUAGUAUUUCCUUUGAUAUCUUUAAUUGCCAUAUUCUCUUUGCUUCUACUUAACUGACAAUUUUUCUUUUUUAAAGAUCUCAAACCAGCAGUCCUUAAAUGAAAGGACUAACCCACAGUUUUGAGGGGUAAUGACUUUUGGUGUCUCUGUUGUAAUCCUUUUUCUUUUUAUACUUUGUUGCAGGUUUUUUUUUUCUUCUUGAUAUCACUUUUCAGUCCCGCCACAUUACGCUUUGAAAAAGCAGCUCUCUGUAGAGAUACAAUGAAUGAUAUUGGAAUGACAUGCCCUGGAAGCUGCUCCUGGUUCUCUCUUUGGAAACUCCUGUGCAGUUAGUCCUCUAGGAAGUUUACAGGUCAGCAGAGGUCAUCAGCCAGAUAAAUCUGAAGAAUAACCAGUGGAGCUAGAUAAAUUCAAGUCAGAAACCACAACAACUUACAAAAAUCACUACAUAUGUCAUAAAGAAGGUCAAAUCAGAAGGCCGAGAGCAUUUAAAGGAGGAAGAGAUUAUGUCCGGCUGGAGGAUCAACCCCCUCCCAAUUUUAGGCUCCACUCUGAGCCACAUUAAGCUCAUGUAUCUGAGUAUCAUAUGGAAUCUGGAAAGGACUUGGAAACAGCUUACCUAAGUUAAUUGAGUUGCUGAAAUUUUAUAAUAUUACCAUUGGAAUAUUGGAAUUGUGCACCUGGAAGGAAUGUCUAGAAGAACUUCUCUUAUAGGACUCCUUUCUGUAAGAGAGAAAUAUGGAAAGGCCUUGAGUGAGUACAAUGUACAGUUUCUUCAGGGGAACUUCAAAGGUGAGUCAUUUGAAUGAAAUGAGUUUGCGCUUCCUCAGCUGGUAUUCGCCCUACAUUGCGUUGUGUCUAGUAUUUCAUAUUUCCUCACUGCAGAUAGUGUCACCUGGGGAUUACCUGAUGUAUUUUAGGGAGUUUGUAACUGUUUCUCUGGUAAUCCAAUCCUUUCUGUUUUCUCUAGACAGUCUUCAAAAUUUCUGGUUCAUGGAUGUCACUUCGCUCUUACGAACGGGGUUUCUGUUCCUUGAACGGACCAAGCUCAGACCACUCUAGACAUUUGAACUACUUCCUCUAUGGGGAAUAUUCUAAGAUUUUUGGAAGUCUGUAUCUUUGGAUCAUUCAAGUCUCAGGUCACAUAUUUGUUGUUGUUGUUUAGUCUCUAAGUCGUGUCCAGCUCCUGGCAACCCCAUGGUCUGUAGCCCCAAGGCUCCUCUGUGCAUGGGAUUUCCCAGGCAGGAAUACUGGAGCGGGUUGCCAUUUCCUUCUCUAAGGGAUCUUCCCAACCCAGGGAUGGAACCUGCAUCUCCAUUGGCAGGCCGAUUCUUUACCACUAAGCCACAUAUGCCUCCUCCAAAAGGACUGAAGGUGGGAAGAGAAGGGGCCGACAGAAGAUGAGAUGGUUGGAUGGCGUCACAGACUCGAUGGACGUGAGUUUGAGUAAGCUCCAGGAGUUGGUGUUGGACAGGGAAGCCUGGGAUGGUGCAGUCCAUGGGGUCGCACAGAGUCAGACAAGACUGAGUGACUGAACUGAACUGAACAGGAUUUCCUGCAUGCUAUAGGGGAAACAGUUCCCCAAACCCCUCCUACCAGUCACUCUCAACUACAGUUAUUCUGUUUAACUACUUUCAUAGUAUAGACCUUGGGCUACAGUUACGCUGUUUAUUGUAUUUUUUCUCUUGCCCUCCCCACCUUGACCUGUAAGCUCCCUGAGAUCAGGAACCUUGCUUAACCUCUUCACCACAGUAGCACCUAGAGCAUAGCCAGAGAGCAAUAGUGAUUUGUCAGAUGAAUGAAGGAUUAAUUCUUAUGAAAAUUUUUUCAGUCACUUCAAAGUGUUUUUGAUAUUGAGAGGUAAACUUGUAAGCUUAGUCUAUCAAAUUGAUUUGAUUUGGUGUACAAUGGAUUACUAUUCAGUCAUGAGAAAGAAGGAUGUUAUGCUAUUUGUGAUAACAUGGAUGGUCCUUGUGGGAAUUAUGCUAAGUGAAAUAAGACAGAGAAAGAAAUAUUGUGUUAUAUAACUUAUAUGUAGGAUCUGAAAAAGCCAAACUCAUAGAAACAGAGGCUAGAAUGGUGGUUACCAGUGGCUAGGGCUGGGGGAAAGAUCUGGAAAUGUUGGUUGACAUGUAUACAUUUCCAGUUAUAAAAUGAGUAAGGUAUGGAAUCUAAUGUACGGUGUCAUGAUGAUAGUUAAUGCCUUAUUAUAUACCUAUAUAAAGUUGCUAGGACAGUAGAUCCUAAUUAGAUGAUAUAGUACAGAUGUUAGCUAAAGCAGUGGUGGUUAAUUAAUUUGCAGUCAAAAUAAAAACUUAAUACAUUGUACACCUUAAAUGUACACACUGCUCUAUAUGUUGAUUUCAUUCAAUAAAUCUGGAAAAUAUGUAGGAUCUUGGUGAUACUGGUGGUCACUUUGUCAUAUUGGUAUAGAUGUUACAGAGAAUACUAUUGUUCCAAAUGGUUGGUAUAGAACAUCUGAACAUACCUGGAACUUUUGAUAAUACCUAAUGGAUUAUACCAUAUAAAAAGACGCCUAAAGCCCAGAAGAACAAAAGACACACAGUUCUGGAAAGGAAACAUCGUCUAACUUGCAUAUUAUCAUCUCAUUCCUUUUGUAAAAUGACCCUGCUCUCCAGUCACUGGAUGUGGGAUAGUAUGGUAAUGCGGUCUGCUGCUGGAGGUUUCCAUGUGAGUAUGUUCCAAGUGUGACAAGGGUUUGCUUUUUCUUUUUCUUUUUUUGUCUUUAAAAGCAAAGAUUGAAAGUGGGAGGAGAAGGGGGCGACAGAGAAUGAGAUGGUUGGAUGGCAUCACUGACUCAAUGGACAUGAGUUUGAGUAAAACUCCAGGAGUUGGUGAUGGACAGGGAGGCCUGGCGUGCUGCAGCCCAUGGGGUCGGAAAGAGCCGUACGGGACUGAGCAACUGAACUGAACUUUUUCCUAAGACUUUAUGAGCCUGACAGGACUCUGCCCUUAACUUGGUCCCCAGAGGUCAGGGCAGUAUUUUGUUUUGUUUUUUGGUAGUGGACCGGGGAAGGUUCUUUUAACAUUUAAUCCUCAGAACAAACACUGACCUGGUAAGUACUAUUAACACUUAUUUUCACAUUAAGCAAGCAGACUCAGGCUAUGCAACUUGGCCAACUUCUUGCCACUGGUAAGUGCAAGAACCAGUAUUGAACCUGUUUUCAGGAACCAAAGAGAGGUUCGAUGUGACCUGUCAGUACUCAGCAGUGUCCCUUAGAGUGGAGAUGAGUUCAUGAUGUCUAAUCUGUUAUUGAUUGACUUAAAAUUGGUGGAAAGCUAUUUCAGAUACAGAACCAAAAUCUGUUUCUCUUUAUGUCUAUAUAAAAUUGACCUGUGGGAGCAGAACUGAAUGUCCACCUUUCCUUUUCCUGACAGUCAAUCACUUUCAAAUCCUUGAGUAAAAGUACCCACUAUGGCAGUUAGGGAUGGAUUCAUACAGAGAUGGCUGGCACCUAAAGAAAAUUCGUGGCAUUUGGAUUUGUGCAAAUGAGAGAAAUACACCUUUUAGGUAAUCAGAUGUGAUGAUGAUAGAAUGAUUCACUGAGUGCCUGUUGUGUCCAGCACUGUGCUAGUCUCUCUAGAUGCACUGUCUCAGCCUUGAGUAAUUCUCAUGAUGACUGUGCGCUAGGGGAAUGGUGCUUCAUUUUAUAGAUGUAAAAAGACACUCAAGAGAUGUGAAGUGAUCCAGUUCACUCAGGUAUUAAGUGACAUGAGAUUUGAAGCCAGACUUACGUGAUUCCAAAGCAUGUUUUCUGCACUAGCCUAGGCUUCAUCUUGGUUGCAUAAAUUAUAACAAUAUAAUCUGUUGAUCAGUCUGAAUUCAGUGGCGUAUAAACCAAAAGGCCUUACUGUUUUCUAGUCACUAUCUUAAAUAGGCAGUGCAUAUAUACUCGAUUUUUGUCCUCUAUUAACCUUUUAAGAAGAUUCCAUUGCAUCUUGGGCCUUUUUACGACAAAACCCAGCUAGUUUAAAUCUAAAAGUUGUCUCAUUUGUUUCCCUCCCUUCAUCUUAGACCCAGAAGCCUAAGCCCAUGUGACUGUAGUGAAGAAGAGCAUGUUCUGUUUAUUUAAUCUUUUUUCCCCUUUUCACAGGCAUUUAAGGCAGUGAAGAGGGAAAUAGUGAAGGUCAAGUGACUCUUAACUGAUGUUCUUUUCUGACUGUUCCUAGUUCUUCAGGUAACUGAUCUGCUACUGAUGCGGUCUAUAAGGCAAGUGUUUUACCUGUGGGCUUGGUUUAGGAAAACGUAGGAGAAAGGGAAGGCAGAUUAAGGUUUGGAUGCCAGGAAAGAUGACAUUUAUGGUAGGGGGAAAACUGGAAGAAAGAGAGCUAGUUCAGGAUAGAUAUAAUCCAACAGACAUGACAGAAACUCUUACAUGAUGAUUUAAAAUGGAAAGACAACUUUCGCUCUGUGGAGCUGAUGUGUUCCAGCUAUUGAUUCUAAAAUGAACUCAAUUUUCCUUCUUAACUGCUAUGAUAGAAUCAAGGAUGUAUCCCCACAAGGGAAAAAGAAAAUCCUCAAAAGACUCAAUUAAAACUUUAGGUGAAGAUGUAGUUGAGAGGGUGGCCAGCGCCCCGGGUCCUGUGGGAUUGUUGUCCGCUUUGUGGCUCACUUCCCUUUGCUGUGAUUUACAGACUCCUGGGUCUCCCCGAGGCCCUCGGGCCCACCCUUGCUUCCUUUGGGAUAGGAUGGUCGUGCAUGUCUCCUGUCAGAGAAGUGAAUAUUCAGUCCUGAAACCCUGGGAGUUCUCUUCUGGUUGGCUAUGCAUCUUUGCAUUCAGGUUUUAUGCCUUUGCUCCACUGCCACUUCUCACCUUUAGAACAUUUCUACAAGUAAAACCCACAUCAGAGCAUCCAUGUGGGAUAAUUCUGACCAUAUCUCUAUCCCUUUACAUGAACAAAAAUCCUCCCCAAAAUUGUCUGUAGACAUAUAUGGCAUCUUACAUUUUAUCAAACACUUAGCUGCUGUAUCAUUUUGGCAUUCUCUGUGUCUAUAUAAAACACUCUGUUGGUCUAUAAAGAGAAGGCUGUCUUUGGAACCAGUUCGCAGAAAACUCAAUCAGGCAAAUGCCAAAUUAUGUCCCUAACUCUGUCCCCUGGGUGAUUGGAUCUUGGGCACCAUGAGAGUUACUGAGGUUCGGAAGGAGAACAUACCCAGCAGAAACCAGGAGAACAGAGAACUUGGAGACACCGUGGGAGAGAGAAGAGGCAUAAGGAGAGAGAAAGGGUACUAGCAAAGAUGGGGUUGCUCUAGAAAUACUCUUGCACUGGCUUCUGUGCAGGAAACCUGUAAUACCAAUCCCGUUGAAAAGACUGGGUCAAUAGAGUCACCUCCUGAACUCUCAGUUUAUAGCACUGUCACUUUCUCUAACUUUAUUACAGCUGAAGGAAGGAGUCCUGUUGAUACAAAACAUGAUUACAGCUCUUUUGGAAAAGAAGAAAAAGAUUUUCACCAACACUUCCCAUUUAUUGUCACUACCAUUUUUUCCCCUGUCCUGCUCUCUCAUUCUUGGCCCACAUAGGAAAUCAGAAGGUAAUUUAAAAUUCAGUGAUGAGGGCUCGGAGCUUAACACAUUUAGAAGAAGAGAGGAAAGAAAAGCGUCACAUCUGGACAGGACUGGGAGUGAUGUUGGAAAGCUUGCCAAGGAGGACCAGAAGAGCUGUUGGCAAGUGGCCUCAUGGUGCCGUGUGUGACCACAGCAGACCCCCAAGACGUUAUCUUUUCUCAGGCUAUGGGAUAGUGACUGAAGUCAUGGAAGCAUGGGAGAGAAGUUGAGAGAGAGUUUAUGUGUUAGGAAAAUUGGGUUGAAUCUUUGAUUUACUAAUUACUAUUUUGUAAUAGUAAUCCUAAGGAUUUCUUCAAUCCUUCUAAGCAUUUCUUUCUGUAUGUAUAACAGUAUCCUCAUAGAAUAUGAGAAGUAAAUUAUUUAUAUGUACAGACACACAUAUGCAUAUAUAUAAUUCUUAGCAUAUAAAAAGUUCUUUAUAAAUAGUAAUGGUCUAGAUUAUUCUUAUAAUAGGAUACAAAGGCAAAGGCAGCUCUUUAGUUUAUCUUUGCUUUUACUUGCCCCUAUGUGGUGACACACAAAUCAGUGAAAACAGCUUCUAUUUUCUUUCAAGAUUCUCUGUUAGAAGUAAAAAGAACAUAGGUGUCAGAAUCUCACAAAUCACAGUUAAAAUUUAUAUUCUGCCACUUAUGAGCUACAGAACCUGGGACAUGUUACCUUGUUGGUUUCAGAGUUCACAUCUGAUAAUGUCAUUACUUAAUAUUCACAACAUGGCUGGGAAAUUUAAUGAAGGGAAAAGUAUGUAACACUGCUGAGUACAUUGCCUGGUAUAUAACAUAUACUAAAUCAGAGGUUGGCAGAGAUCUUCUUUCAAGGGCCAGAUUGUUAAUAUUUUAGGCUUUUGGACCCAACUGCUCGAGUUAGUCAUCAUUGCAUUGCAUGAAAACAUCCAGGGUCAGUGAGUGUGUAAGGGAAUAAGGAUAGCUGUUUUCCAAUAAAACUUUAUUUAAAAAGACAAGUGGGCCAGCUUUGGCCUCUGAUCUGUACUUUGCUAAUACUAGCUCCUAACCAAUAUUAGUUUCUUCCUCUUCUCCAAUCUGUCAUCUUUGAAAUUUAGCAUUUUUUUUUCAGGUAUAUAAUGUUGAAAAAGCAUCUACCUAAAGUUUAUUUAUUGAAUAUCUGUUGUGUGCAAAGGACUGAGUUAAGUGGAAUGAAGAGCAGUGUGAAUAAAAUUUGCUUCUACUUUUGAAAGGGCUAAAGGAUGAGAGAAAGGGAUUAACUCAUUUAAGUUUGGCUUUCUUAGCCAGAAAGUAGUUUAAGAACAUUUCUUUGAGAUGUUGGAGGAUGAAAUAAGGCAUCAUAUUUAAGCAAAGAUACAGUACAAAACAUUAUAGAGAAAUGGUUAUUGGACUGAUCUUUUUUUCCAGUGAAGAACUGUACAACUGGACAAAAUGUAUGAAGAAAUUGUUUGCAGACACGGGACAACAGAAAGCACAGAACUGUCUGGGGUUGGAGCUAACUUUUCCCAGCUAUGAAGAAGCCCAGAAAUACCCAGUUUGUCAUCUUGGAUAAACCCUCCACAGGUGAUGAGUUGGUUUCUAAAUAACAUAACUUUCUCAGUGGAGUCAUAUGAAUCUGGGGUAUGUGUCUCACACGGGCCCCAGAGCUCCCUAGUGCAAUUUAGAACCAGUUGCCUGCUGUCAAAACUGGCUUGAUAUUGUGCCUUUUACUAGCCAUUUUCCCUUUCAUAUUUCCCCAUUCACUACUGAAGUUUCCUGGAAUUGCAUCCAAAAUAAGCUGCUAGCAUUUAAAUGUUAUCUCCGGAUCUUAUUUUAAAAGAAAGCCAAAUUAAGAUGGAAGUUUCCCUGGGAAGCAGAACUUCAGGAUGGAUUUCUCAAUUUGAUAACUCUCUGGUUGGGAACAAGGAUCCUGAUGCUGGCAGCAAGUGGGUGGUGAUAAACCCUAGAUUGUUAAGGGUGAGGGUUACCAAGAUUCCCACUUGCAGUGAAUGGGAAGGAAGGUGAAAAUGGAUGUACUUACUUUUACAAGAAUACAACAAUGCUUUUACAACAAUAUUUCAGAUGUGGGAUCAAUGGUAAUUACAAGGUCUAGGUAGUUGAUUUAUUAUUAAGUUAAAGGGUUAAAAGAAGAACAGCUGUCUCACAUCAGUUGGCUAUUAAUUCAGGCACCAUAUUUAAGCCAGAAGCCCUCCCACUGAAGUGAUUUUCAUCCCCCAUAGCUGAUGGUGGACUGCUGAAAAUCAGAAGCAAGGCCUGAUUAAGAAGAUAGUAAAAUUAUGAAGCAGGCAGAGAUCACAACACUAGCAAGUCUGUACAGGAGGCAAGAUCCUGAUGGGAAAGCAUCUGUACUCUGAUGAUAGGAAUGGGAAUAUCUGAGAGGAUGCAUUUAUGAGCUUAGAAAACUCAGCAUCCCAUGAAUCUGGACUAGUUUGAAUGGCCUACAACCAACUGCUUGCUAAAGGGUAAUAACCUCCACCUAUCUGAAGCCAUGCAAAAUCCUCACCUGAAGCAGAUGCCAAACAAGAUGAUGCUUACUUUAAGAUCUUUCAUACCUCCUCUCAUUUCUUUCCGAUCUAGAUCAAUAAAUAGAACUCAGCUAAAUUGCAUCAAGGACCAACUGGGGAAGUCCUGUGUCUGCUGCGGGAGGGAAGAGACUAUUACCAAAAGAGCUACAGAAUAUGGAUAAUCUGUUGGACAGGAACUGGAGACCAUGCUAGGAAAUGGAUCUUGAGGGUGCUGGACUGGUAGAGACAUUCCAUCAGACAGGGUAGGGAACAUUUACUGACAGGAAGUUGCUGUUCUACAACUCAGGAAUUAAAGACUUGUCAAGAACACUUUGGAGCCAGUCCUAAUAUGCAGGUGGGACAGUUUCUUUAAGUUUGAUUUUUAAAAAAAAUGACCAAUAGUUAAUAAAGGAGAGAAGUUAAAACUGCCUUGACAGAACAUGAAAAAAAAAAAAAACAGCGCAAAGAUCAGUGUAUAUAAACAGAAAACAUCAGGUGCCUGUAUUAACUGGAAAAGCUCAGAAGACAUUCUGUUUACUACAACAAAGAGCAGUGUACUAGUGAGGUUGCUGCCAGCAUCACAAGUCCACACUGAGUGUACUCUGUGAGCCAAGGUUGAACCUAAGGGAUAUUUUCAUGGAAACAGGCUCUCUAGUGUCAGUGAGUAUGAUGAUUAUGGAGUAAUAGAGGCCAGUUACUGUGUUGUUGUUUAGUCGCUAAGUCGUGUCUGACUCUUUUGUUUGCAACCCCACCAGGCUCCUCUGUCCAUGGGAUUUCCCAGGGAAAAUAAUGAAGUGGGUUGCCAUUUCCUCCAGGGGAUCUUCCCAACCCAGGGAUGGAAACCGGAUCUCCUGAAUUGCAGGCGGAUUCUUUACCUCUGAGUCACCAGGGAAGCCCAGUAGAGCCAGAGAAAGAAUGAACUAAUAUGGAAUGAACCCAAGCCCAGCCAGAAACACAGAACUUGAUGCAGAGCUGCCCAACUCAUCCUAGCCUCAAUCAGCUGACCCCACACAACUCACAAAUUAAAAAAAAAAAAAAUUGAUGUUUUGAAGUGCUAAGUUUCUGUGGUGGCUUGUUUGAUAAUGAUAGAUAUAAGAUUCCUAAAAAUAGAUUCUUAACUAGUUUUAUAAUGUGACAGUGGGCAGUAAAUAAACGGUGGGGAAAACAUGGUGAUGAAACUAUCUUAUAAGGCUCAAAAAAUGGUGCCCUGUGUUAUGUGGCAGCAACAUUUAAAACUAGUGUCUGCAG